rnacentral:rRNA from 1 species
UACGAAGGGGGCUAGCGUUGCUCGGAAUCACUGGGCAUAAAGGGUGCGUAGGCGGGUCUUUAAGUCAGGGGUGAAAUCCUGGAGCUCAACUCCAGAACUGCCUUUGAUACUGAAGAUCUUGAGUUCGGGAGAGGUGAGUGGAACUGCGAGUGUAGAGGUGAAAUUCGUAGAUAUUCGCAAGAACACCAGUGGCGAAGGCGGCUCACUGGCCCGAUACUGACGCUGAGGCACGAAAGCGUGGGUAGCGAACAGG